GAGCCUAAGUAAGUCAAUUCCGUAUCUGUCCAUUUAUAUCUAUAUGUAGAUUGGAGCUUAUGUUUAACUCGUGGGUCUAUUCCCAACCCCAGAAUCUCACAUUUGUCCGUAUUAAUUUGAAAUUGGAGCACACGCUGAAUUUGUCUAUUUCUGCUACUAUGUGUGGUAGGGAAUGUGUCGGGUUGGUAAAGGUGAGCAGGAUGUCAUCUGCGAAAGCGGAGAC